GAUGAACGCUGGCGGCGUGCCUAAUACAUGCAAGUCGAGCGAACAGAUAAGGAGCUUGCUCCUUUGACGUUAGCGGCGGACGGGUGAGUAACACGUGGGUAACCUACCUAUAAGACUGGGAUAACUUCGGGAAACCGGAGCUAAUACCGGAUAACAUUUGGAACCGCAUGGUUCUAAAGUGAAAGAUGGUUUUGCUAUCACUUAUAGAUGGACCCGCGCCGUAUUAGCUAGUUGGUAAGGUAACGGCUUACCAAGGCGACGAUACGUAGCCGACCUGAGAGGGUGAUCGGCCACACUGGAACUGAGACACGGUCCAGACUCCUACGGGAGGCAGCAGUAGGGAAUCUUCCGCAAAGGGCGAAAGCCUGACGGAGCAACGCCGCGUGAGUGAUGAAGGGGUUCGGCUCGUAAAACUCUGUUAUUAGGGAAGAACAAAUGUGUAAGUAACUGUGCACGUCUUGACGGUACCUAAUCAGAAAGCCACGGCUAACUACGUG
rnacentral:rRNA from 1 species